rnacentral:sRNA from 1 species
AAGAUGGAAGCAACGGCGUUCGACAUAGGGGACAAGUACGGUGGUUAUCAUCAUCACCGCCGCAACAUUCAUAAUCUAGCCAUCGGUCAAUACAAUCACGAUGAAACACGUGAGUACAGUUCCUAAGCUCUCUGAUUUCGUCCUCGUCUUCAAGAUCUCCUAGACACACGGCACACAUGUCGUUUAUCGCCGCGGGAG